rnacentral:rRNA from 1 species
ACCCGUUCCCAUCCCGAACACGGCCGUUAAGCCCUGCAGCGCCGAUGGUACUGCUACGCGGUAGAGUAGGUCGCCGCCUCUC